rnacentral:rRNA from 1 species
GAGCUAACGCGUUAAGUCGACCGCCUGGGGAGUACGGCCGCAAGGUUAAAACUCAAAUGAAUUGACGGGGGCCCGCACAAGCGGUGGAGCAUGUGGUUUAAUUCGAUGCAACGCGAAGAACCUUACCUACUCUUGACAUCCAGAGAACUUUCCAGAGAUGGAUUGGUGCCUUCGGGAACUCUGAGACAGGUGCUGCAUGGCUGUCGUCAGCUCGUGUUGUGAAAUGUUGGGUUAAGUCCCGCAACGAGCGCAACCCUUAUCCUUUGUUGCCAGCGGUCCGGCCGGGAACUCAAAGGAGACUGCCAGUGAUAAACUGGAGGAAGGUGGGGAUGACGUCAAGUCAUCAUGGCCCUUACGAGUAGGGCUACACACGUGCUACAAUGGCGCAUACAAAGAGAAGCGACCUCGCGAGAGCAAGCGGACCUCAUAAAGUGCGUCGUAGUCCGGAUUGGAGUCUGCAACUCGACUCCAUGAAGUCGGAAUCGCUAGUAAUCGUAGAUCAGAAUGCUACGGUGAAUACGUUCCCGGGCCUUGUACAC